AUUGAACGCUGGCGGCAGGCUUAACACAUGCAAGUCGAGCGGGGGAGGUUGCUUCGGUAACUGACCUAGCGGCGGACGGGUGAGUAAUGCUUAGGAAUCUGCCUAUUAGUGGGGGACAACAUUCCGAAAGGAAUGCUAAUACCGCAUACGCCCUACGGGGGAAAGCAGGGGAUCUUCGGACCUUGCGCUAAUAGAUGAGCCUAAGUCGGAUUAGCUAGUUGGUGGGGUAAAGGCCUACCAAGGCGACGAUCUGUAGCGGGUCUGAGAGGAUGAUACGCCACACGGGGACUGAGACACGGACCAGACGCCUACGGGAGGCAGCAGUGGGGAAUAUUGGACAAUGGGCGGAAGCCUGAUCCAGCCAUGCCGCGUGUGUGAAGAAGGCCUUUUGGUUGUAAAGCACUGUAAGCGAGGAGGAGGCUCUUAAGGCUAAUACCCUUGAUGAGUGGACGGUACUCGCAGAAUAAGCACCGGCUAACUCUGUGCCAGCCGCCGCAGUAAAAC
rnacentral:rRNA from 1 species